AUCUUAGUGGUGUAAAUAACACGCUUCAUUUUCGUUGAUGAGAUGAAAACUUUUUUUUCCUAAGAUA
rnacentral:tRNA from 1 species